ensembl:lncRNA
UGAAAACAACGAAGACAUGUUUGUCUUAUUUAGAGGGAGUAGAUGCAUCACACUGAGAGCUCAUGAUCCCAGUGUGAACAAAAUCGCUUUAAUAUUCCAAAGUGAAAGUAGCAAUUCCUCCUGAAGGUCAGAGAUUGCAGCAUCUGAGGGCCUCUUCAAAAGAAGACGUAGUUGAUGAAGGCGUUCUGGAGCAGGACCAGAAAGACCAUGACCAAGCAGCCUUGAGAUCUUAGGCAGCGUCUCCCUCAGACCAAAGAACUACAGAUUCUUCACAACCUGCUCAAACUCUUGGUACAGGACCUCACCACACGGGUCAAGAAGGUUUCUGUCUCAUUUCUACUCUGAAGCUCACCUUCUCCUGCUCAAACUGCUGACAAAUGUUUCUGCUGCUCUAAAGUCUGGUCUCCAGAACUUCCUAAAAACUCUAAAAGUCUCUUCUGCUGCAGGUUGCUUUGUAGAACUUUUCCAGAAAACCUCACUAAACCACAUGGAGGGGCCUCAAGAUAGUCGUCCAAAUGAAACCAUA